UACAGAGGUCUCAAGCGUUGUUCGGAUUCAUUGGGCGUAAAGGGUGCGUAGGCGGCGCGGUAAGUCGGGUGUGAAAUCUCGGGGCUUAACUCCGAAACUGCAUUCGAUACUACCGUGCUUGAGGACUGGAGAGGAGACUGGAAUUUACGGUGUAGCGGUGAAAUGCGUAGAUAUCGUAAGGAAGACCAGUGGCGAAGGCGGGUCUCUGGGACGGUACUGACGCUGAGACGCGAAAGCGUGGGGAGCGAACAGG
rnacentral:rRNA from 1 species